UAAACACAACCAAUCUUAAAAUAUCCAUGACAAAUACAAUUACGUACAUACGUACAUUAGUACACGGAUUCCGAAGUGAAAACUAUUAAAUUGUAAUUCAUUAAAAUAAUAUACAGAGUAAAUUAUUAAUAUUACUGUUCACUUAAGAGUUCUACACUUUUAUUUCUUUUGUUCUUAGUUUUAAUAAUAAAACAAUGAUGUAUUAAUA